UACGUAGGGGGCAAGCGUUGUCCGGAAUCAUUGGGCGUAAAGGGCGCGUAGGCGGGCAUAUAAGUCUGAUGUGAAAGUGCGGUGCUUAACACCGUAAAGCAUUGGAAACUGUAUGUCUUGAGGACAGGAGAGGAAAGUGGAAUUCCACGUGUAGCGGUGAAAUGCGUAGAGAUGUGGAGGAACACCAGUGGCGAAGGCGACUUUCUGGACUGUAACUGACGCUGAGGCGCGAAAGCGUGGGGAGCGAACAGGAUUAGAUACCCUGGUAGUCCACGCCGUAAACGAUGAGUGCUAGGUGUAGAGGGUAUCGACCCCUUCUGUGCCGCAGUUAACACAAUAAGCACUCCGCCUGGGGAGUACGGCCGCAAGGUUGAA
rnacentral:rRNA from 1 species